GAUGAACGCUGGCGGCGUGCUUAACACAUGCAAGUCGAGCGAAGCGCUAAAGCGGAUUUCUUCGGAUUGAAGUUUUAGUGACUGAGCGGCGGACGGGUAAGUAACGCGUGGGUAACCUGCCUCAUACAGGGGGAUAACAGUUGGAAACGGCUGMUAAUACCGCAUAAGCGCACAGUACCGCAUGGUACGGUGUGAAAAACUCCGGUGGUAUGAGAUGGACCCGCGUCUGAUUAGGUAGUUGGUGGGGUAACGGCCUACCAAGCCGACGAUCAGUAGCCGACCUGAGAGGGUGACCGGCCACAUUGGGACUGAGACACGGCCCAAACUCCUACGGGAGGCAGCAGUGGGGAAUAUUGCACAAUGGGGGAAACCSUGAUGCAGCGACGCCGCGUGAGCGAAGAAGUAUUUCGGUAUGUAAAGCUCUAUCAGCAGGGAAGAAAAUGACGGUACCKAAUWWKAGGCCCCCGYSU
rnacentral:rRNA from 1 species